rnacentral:rRNA from 1 species
UACAGAGGGUGCGAGCGUUAAUCGGAAUUACUGGGCGUAAAGCGUGCGCAGGCGGUUUACUAAGACAGGUGUGAAAUCCCCGGGCUUAACCUGGGAAUGGCGCUUGUGACUGGUAGGCUAGAGUACGUCAGAGGGGGGUGGAAUUCCACGUGUAGCAGUGAAAUGCGUAGAGAUGUGGAGGAACACCGAUGGCGAAGGCAGCCCCCUGGGAUGAUACUGACGCCUCAGGCACGAAAGCGUGGGGAGCAAACAGG